rnacentral:rRNA from 1 species
UUGACCUCGGAUCAGGUAGGGAUACCCGCUGAACUUAAGCAUAUCAAUAAGCCGG